AGCCAGUGGGCGGGGCUUAGCGCUGUGGGCGGGGCUUAGCCCGCGGCGCUCCCCCCCACCUCAUGGCUCCGGGCGCGCCACGCCGCCGCCGGGGGCACCGCGAAGCCUCCGGGGACCCCCCCGGUUCCCCCCGCCCCGACCCCGGGAGGGGACCCGAGAACCGGUACCGGGGAGGGUCCGGGGGGGCCCUGGGGGCCCGGGGAGGGCGGGGCCGGGCGCGCUUCCCCUUUCUGGGGAGAACCGCGGCUUUAACUUGCAAAUUUGGGGCUUUUUCACGUAUUUUUAGGCGCUUCCGGGCAGCGGGUUGGGAAAGGGGAAGGAAACGGAACGGGCGCGGGUUUUCCCCUUCUCCACCCCCGUUCCCACCCGCUCCGUGCUCCGGGAAGCGCUGAGCCUUCCCUUUCCUUUUAAUUUCAUUAUUUUGGGGAAAAAAAUCCUUAUUUUGGGGUUAUCGGCAUGAAAUCCCGCAGGAAACGCUGCCCCCUUCGCUCCAUCCACCGGGAACCAAAACCAGCCUCAACAACGUGUUCUGUUCCCAGCCCGGCGCCGAUUCCCCUUUCCCGGCGUUUUCCAGCUCUGUUUGUGUUCGUGGGAGGGGAAAUCCCGGUUCAGCCUCUCCCGGCGGCCGUGAGGGGGAGCGCGCGGCAUUCCCACCGCCGGGAAUGCGGCGGCGGCCUCGGAGCACGGAGUUAUUGGAUCAUCAGUUAAUUAAAGGGGAGCGAGACACCCCCUUGGGCUCCUUCUCAGCCUUGAUUUCGUGGCCUCCUCACAGGCAGCCCCGUCCAACCUGGUCCCUUCAGGCACUGGAGCUGCUCUAAGGUGUCCCCUUCAGGAGCCUUCUCUUCUCCAGGCUGCCCCAGCCCAGCUCUCUCAGCCUGGCUCCAGAGCAGAGCUGCUCCAGCCCUCGCAGCAGCUCCGGGGCCUCCUCUGGCCUCGCUCCAGCAGCUCCACGUCCCUCUUGUGCUGUUGCCCCAGAGCUGGACGCAGCUUGAGGAACACCCCCCUUCCAGGGCGUUUUCCAGGCAUCCCGUCAUUAUCCAGCUCCAAGCAGCGGAGGCUGAGGGAAUCCUUCGCCAUCCCACGGCUCCUGGUCAAUGGUUUCGCCACCUUCUUGGUCGAGCUGGUUCGGUUCCUCGGUGAAUCCGUGGUCCAGGUGCUGCUGGUUGGGUUGGUCACAGCCAUCGGGGACCACAUCCUGAAGCCCCUCUUGGUGGCCACGUUCAGCAGCCUCCUGCAGCCGCUGCUGCUGUUCCUGCUGAGGCUCCUCCGCGGCCUCCGGGACCUGGUGGAUCCUCUCAUGGACGUCCUGGCCCGCACCUGCUCCCAGCUCGCUGUCCUGCUCCGCGCCCUCAGGCUGGUGGAGAUCAACCUGAGGAUGGACAGAAGGACGGAUCCUGGGGACGUCGGCAGCGGCUGAGGACACGUUGGGUGGGGAUGGAGGAAGGAGAAGAGGAAAGAUGCUAAUUUCAUAGCACUAUGGAAUGGUUUGUGCUGGAAGAGACCUCAAAGCUCCUCCAGCUCCAACCCCUGCCACGGGCAGGGACACCUUCCACUAGAGCAGGUUGCUCCAAGCCCCUGUGUCCAACCUGGCCUUGAACACUGCCAGGGAUGGGGCAGCCACAGCUUCUCUGGGCACCCUGUGCCAGCGCCUCAGCACCCUCACAGGGAAGAGCUUCUGCCUUAUCUCCAACCUGAACUUCCCCUGUUUCAGCUUGAACCCAUCACCCCUUGUCCCAUCACUCCAGUCCCUGAUGAAGAGUCCCUCUCCAGCAUCCUUGUAGCCCCCUUCAGACACUGGAAGCUGCUCUGAGGUCUCCACGCAGCUUCUCUUCUCCAGGCUCAACAGCCCCAAUGUUCUCAGCCUGUCUCCAUACGGGAGCUGCUCCAGCCCCUGCUCAUCCUCGUGGCCUCCUCUGGACUUGCUCCAACAGCUCCAUGUCCUUCUGAUGUCGGGGACCCCAGCCCUGCACACAGUGCUGCAAGUAGGGUCUCACAGAGCAAAGGGGCAGGAUCACCCCUUUCCCAUUUCUGGGAAGAGCAAUGGAAACUGAGGAAGACGGGGCUGUCUGUGGCACUGGGGAGGUGAAGAGGAUGAGGAGGACAAUGAGGGGAUCCUCCUGACCGCGUGUUCCUGUGCAGUGGGUACAUGGUCACCGGUGGGAUUGGGUUUGUGUGUUCUCCUCAUGCAAACACCUCCUCAGCCAACCCAUUAAAUGAGGAUUUGAUCUCCUGGACCAUGUCUCUAAUGA
rnacentral:lncRNA from 1 species